rnacentral:rRNA from 1 species
ACGCUCGACACCUACGGGAGGCAGCAGGUGGGGAAUAUUGCACAAUGGGGAAACCCUGAUGCAGCGACGCCGCGUGGAGGAAGAAGGUCUUCGGAUUGUAAACUCCUGUUGUUAGGGGAAAAAGAGGAUGGUACCCAACAAGGAAGUGACGGCUAACUACGUGCCAACAGCCGCGGUAAUCUGAGCGGGCUGGCAAGGC